rnacentral:rRNA from 1 species
AACGAACGCUGGCGGCAUGCCUAACACAUGCAAGUCGAACGAGACCUUCGGGUCUAGUGGCGCACGGGUGCGUAACGCGUGGGAACCUGCCCUUAGGUUCGGAAUAACUCCCCGAAAGGGGUGCUAAUGCCGGAUAAUGUCUUCGGACCAAAGAUUUAUGGCCUUUGGAUGGGCCCGCGUUGGAUUAGCUAGUUGGUAGGGUAAAAGCCUACCAAGGCGACGAUCCAUAGCUGGUCUGAGAGGAUGAUCAGCCACACUGGGACUGAGACACGGCCCAGACUCCUACGGGAGGCAGCAGUGGGGAAUAUUGGACAAUGGGCGAAAGCCUGAUCCAGCAAUGCCGCGUGAGUGAUGAAGGCCUUAGGGUUGUAAAGCUCUUUUACCCGGGAUGAUAAUGACAGUACCGGGAGAAUAAGCUCCGGCUAACUCCGUG